GCGAUGACGUAACGUAGUUGCAGGAGUCUGAAAACUUCGAUAGCACACUGUUCUCUUGAUUAGAAACUGACGCCGGUUUGGUAGUAAAAUGCCACAUUGUGCUACUUUUGGAUGUAAUUUCCAAUCGAAAGGCAACAAGGGGAGUGGUGUCACUAUAUUUAUAUUUCCAAAGGACAAGAAGGGGAGAAAAGGUGGGAGGAUGCCAUGGACGGAGUACAGCUAGCUAGCUAUAUAGCUUCCUAAAAGUGGCGCUGAGCCCAGCAUUUUCUCCUCAAUGGAUUUAGUCGACUUCCACUGAUGGAAGACCUCACCGGGAGCGAUUGGCUAUAAGCCUAAGCUAAAACCAGAGGCUUGCCCGACGAUCACCCCCCAUACGGAGUCUAAAAAGUCCAGGGAAGCGAGUGAAAUGUGCGUUAAAAACGUGACAGAUAAGAUGCUGUGUGCUCUCCUGAGAAGACAACUAUGCUACGGUAACAUCAGGCAAAUCAGACUCGUCGCCACUCAUCACAGAGGAAGACCACCUUACUCCACACCACAGUAUGAAGGAGGGCUUGCACCAACUUCAAAAAACCCAAAUUGAUGCCUGUCCCGUUAUUGUCGGCCAUUUCAGUGAUGAUGAAUCUGAACGUCAGUCUUGAACAGAAACUAGAGCUCUGAUGGAUCGGGGUUCCAAGCAGCUGCUGAUAGACCAUGAUGGCUGCACCUCAUGACCACCUACAUCCUGAAGACAAUAAAUAUGCUUAUUGGGCUGUAGUGACAAACAUGUACAUUUAUUUAGAGGGACACUGUGUGAGAUUUUUAGUUGUUUAUUUCCAGAAUUCAUGCUGCCCAUUCACUAAUGUUACCUUUUUCAUGAAUACUUACCACCAGCAUCAAAUUAAGUAUUCAUUAUGACUAGAAAAUUGUACUUUUCAAACAUGAAAAGGGGGA